UACGUAGGUGGCAAGCGUUGUCCGGAAUUACUGGGCGUAAAGCGCACGCAGGCGGUUCGCCAAGUUUGGAGUGACAGUUGUCGGCUCAACCGACAAAGGACUUCAAAAACUGGUGAACUUGAGGACGAGAGAGGAACAUGGAACUCCAGGUGUAGUAGUGAAAUGCGUAGAUAUCUGGAAGAACACCAAUGGCGAAGGCAAUGUUCUGGCUCGUUUCUGACGCUCAGGUGCGAAAGCCAGGGGAGCGAACGGG
rnacentral:rRNA from 1 species